rnacentral:rRNA from 1 species
CCUACGGGUGGCAGCAGUGAGGAAUAUUGGUCAAUGGGCGCGAGCCUGAACCAGCCAAGUAGCGUGAAGGAUGACUGCCCUACGGGUUGUAAACUUCUUUUAUAAAGGAAUAAAGUGAGGCACGUGUGCCUUUUUGUAUGUACUUUAUGAAUAAGGAUCGGCUAACUCCGUGCCAGCAGCCGCGGUAAUACGGAGGAUCCGAGCGUUAUCCGGAUUUAUUGGGGUUAAAGGGAGCGUAGGUGGGUUGUUAAGUCAGUUGUGAAAGUUUGGGGCUCAACCCUAAAAUUGCAAUUGAUACUGGCAGCCUUGAGUACAGUUGAGGUAGGCGGAAUUCGUGGUGUAGCGGUGAAAUGCAUAGAUAUCGCGAAGAACUCCGAUUGCGAAGGCAGCUUACUAAACUGCCACUGACACUGAUGCUCGAAAGUAUGGGUAUCAAACAGGAUUAGAUACCCGAGUAGUC